UACGUAGGGGGCAAGCGUUAUCCGGAUUUACUGGGUGUAAAGGGAGCGUAGACGGCAAUGCAAGUCUGGAGUGAAAGGCGGGGGCCCAACCCCCGGACUGCUCUGGAAACUGUAUAGCUGGAGUGCAGGAGAGGUAAGUGGAAUUCCUAGUGUAGCGGUGAAAUGCGUAGAUAUUAGGAGGAACACCAGUGGCGAAGGCGGCUUACUGGACUGUAACUGACGUUGGGGCUCGAAAGCGUGGGGAGCAAACAGG
rnacentral:rRNA from 1 species